CUCCAAUGUGCCUGUUUGUCAUUGCAAUAGGUGGGAGUCUUGACCGGGCACUAGCUCAACUGUGUCAUUUCUUGGUCCCCCACUCUCUUUUUUCCCUGCCAGGCUGACAGCUGGGACCUGGCCUACCUUGCCCAGGGUCACAAGGGGUCAGCUGCAGGGAACCAACCCCAUUAUGACCAUGUGCCCUGGCUGACAGGUACCAUCCCACUGAAUCCUCACACGUGCCCUGAGAGUGGGCAUUCUGAGCUGGCUGAGCAGGGAGGAAAGGCAGGCUCCGAGAGGCUAAGAACCUGGCUGGAGAUCACCUAGCCACUACAGUGUAUUUCCAGUGCCUAAAACAGUGGCUAGCACAGAGCAGGUACUCAAUCUUUGUGGAAGGAAGGAAGGAAUGAGUGGCUGGCCCUGAGAGACAUUAGCUACUUUAACCCUCAUAACAACCCCUGCAAGGUAAGUCAUUUAAAUCCCGUUCUAAAAUGAGAAAACUGAGGCUCAGAGUGGUUAAGUGAUUUGGCCAAUGUCACAAAGUCAAGAAGUGGCCAAGGUCACAAGAAUCAGUCCCCCAUCUGGCUGGCUCCAAACACUGUAUUCUUUUUUUUUUUUUUUCGCCUGUGGUUGUUUUCAUGGUAACUGUCUUAGUGUGACAAACGUGACAUUCACUUGCUUUCCUUAUUCUAAGCAGAAGAUGCUUUAACUUCAGGAUUUUGCAAAAUCUGCCCAGAACUUGUGCUCAUGCACCCGAGAAUCUAUGGGGGAGCCGGUG
rnacentral:lncRNA from 1 species